AUUGAACGCUGGCGGCAUGCUUUACACAUGCAAGUCGAACGGCAGCGCGGGGCAACCUGGCGGCGAGCGGCGAACGGGUGAGUAAUACAUCGGAACGUACCCAGAAGUGGGGGAUAACGUAGCGAAAGUUACGCCAAUACCGCAUACGUUCUACGGAAGAAAGUGGGGGAUCUUCGGACCUCAUGCUUUUGGAGCGGCCGAUGUCUGAUUAGCUAGUUGGUGAGGUAAAGGCUCACCAAGGCGACGAUCAGUAGCUGGUCUGAGAGGACGACCAGCCACACUGGGACUGAGACACGGCCCAGACUCCUACGGGAGGCAGCAGUGGGGAAUUUUGGACAAUGGGCGCAAGCCUGAUCCAGCAAUGCCGCGUGAGUGAAGAAGGCCUUCGGGUUGUAAAGCUCUUUUGUCAGGGAAGAAACGGCUGGGGCUAAUAUCUCCGGCUAAUGACGGUACCUGAAGAAUAAGCACCGGCUAACUACGUGCCAGCCGCCGCAGUAA
rnacentral:rRNA from 1 species